rnacentral:rRNA from 1 species
UGGGGAAUAUUGCACAAUGGGCGCAAGCCUGAUGCAGCAACGCCGCGUGAACGAUGAAGGUCUUCGGAUCGUAAAGUUCUGUUGCAGGGGAAGAUAAUGACGGUACCCUGUGAGGAAGCCCCGGCUAACUACGUGCCAGCAGCCGCGGUAAUACGUAGGGGGCUAGCGUUAUCCGGAUUUACUGGGCGUAAAGGGUGCAUAGGUGGUCUUUCAAGUCGGUGGUUAAAGGCUACGGCUCAACCGUAGUUAGCCUCCGAAACUGGAAGACUUGAGUGCAGGAGAGGAAAGUGGAAUUCCCAGUGUAGCGGUGAAAUGCGUAGAUAUUGGGAGGAACACCAGUAGCGAAGGCGGCUUUCUGGACUGCAACUGACACUGAGGCACGAAAGCGUGGGUAGCAAACAGG